ACAAUGGAGAGUUUGAUCCUGGCUCAGGAUGAACGCUAGCGGCAGGCUUAACACAUGCAAGUCGAGGGGCAGCGGGGUCUUCGGACCGCCGGCGACCGGCGCACGGGUGCGUAACGCGUAUGCAACCUACCCUAAACAGGGGGAUAAUCCGGAGAAAUCUGGUCUAAUACCCCAUAACACUUAGAACGGCAUCGUUUGGAGUUGAAAUUUUCGGAGGUUUAGGAUGGGCAUGCGUGACAUUAGCUAGAUGGUGAGGUAACGGCUCACCAUGGCGACGAUGUCUAGGGGGACUGAGAGGUUAACCCCCCACACUGGUACUGAGACACGGACCAGACUCCUACGGGAGGCAGCAGU
rnacentral:rRNA from 1 species